rnacentral:rRNA from 1 species
GACGAACCGAGCGAACGUUGUUCGGAAUCACUGGGCUUAAAGGGCGCGUAGGCGGGCUGCCGCGUCCGGGGUGAAAUCCUCCCGCCCAACGGGAGAACGGCCUCGGAUACGGGCGGCCUCGAGGGGGGUAGGGGCACCUGGAACUGUGGGUGGAGCGGUGAAAUGCGUUGAGAUCCACAGGAACUCCGGUGGCGAAGGCGAGGUGCUGGACCCCAUCUGACGCUGAGGCGCGAAAGCCAGGGGAGCGAACGGG